GCAAAUGUGACGGCAGACAGAUACAAAUCUGUUGAAUGUGGCGGAUAUUAAAGUAUGGAGAUCGUGCAGAAAGAACGAAUGCAAUGCUCACUGACUGUGGAGGUCUUUACCAGGUGCUUCCAUGUCUGUUUACCAAACUGCAUUCUGGGAUGCAGACGUCACAUUUUUUUUACAGUCUAUACUUCACGCACGCACGUCGCUGCCGUGCCAGCUAACUGUUUUACCCGUUCUUUUAUUCCACAAUGGGUUUCAAAGAGCUGAAACUGGUAGCAUUUGGUGUCUUGUCAUAGGGGCCAAGUAACCAUUUUCAGCAAAACACAUGCAUCGUGAUCGAAGAGGAGUAGUUUCACGAGAUUCUCAUGCUGUCAAAAUUAACACGAGCUGGUCUUUUGACCAAUCCGUGCCCUUUUUUCCCCAGAGGCGGGGUAUUUCCAGUAGGGCUGGGGUGCGUUCAGUCAGAGAUACUUUUAAGGAGAUGGGAAACUCCAUUGGAAUUGUAUUAACGUCCUUGAAUACGUUGCCCAUACAGCAUCAAUGGGCCGCGCGGUGCAUUAUGGGCAAAGAUAUUUGGAAACGUCUUCUCAUUGAUGGAGAUGGAGCUGGAGACGACCAAAGUAUCAAUGUUCUUUUGAAGAACUUUACUAAAUGGUGCAAUUCAACUGGGUUUCCUGAAGAAGGAUUUACACAGUACCAGAGGAUUUUGGGUAUAUAGGCAUAAUGUCAAUUCUCAAUGGGGAAGACUUUGCUGGUGUAUGACAUGAACCUCUGGGAAAUGGAAAACUAUGAGAAAAUAUACACUGACAUAAGUGAGAGAAAUGAGACUGGCGUGUCAGUCCAUUACACUACAUUCUACUGUCAACCCAUACUUUAGUCAAAACGUGGAGUCACACGUAUGAUAUACCAUUUUCUAGCUCGGAGUCGCUACUUUUAUCCAAUGUUAUAAACACCAUUUCAAAUUUUGCUACAUAAGACUGAAUCGAGCCGGUCGGUCACAUAUACUAUAUCUGAUAUCUCCUUCACAUUUACAUUUACAUUUAAGUCAUUUAGCAGACGCUCUUAUCCAGAGCGACUUACAAAUUGGUGCAUUCACCUUAUGACAUCCAGUGGAACAGCUUCUUGACUGCUGGUUCCUCCAGUUGUUUGAUCUGGUCUUUCACCAUCACCUCAAAGGUCUUGUAGUUGAUGAACCCUGGCAGCUCCCUUCCACGGUACGUCUUCUCAUAAUCAGCUAACUGCAAUUUACAAAAGGAUGUCAUUGUGUUGCAUUACACUAAAUAAGCAAGUGUGUGAGCCUUCCAUGUCAAAUAAAAAUUAUCAAUGCAAAUAGCAAUUCCUUGUUAUCUACCUCGCCCAAAUUAGCCAUUGUUUUCGAUGGGUGCAUGAAAAUGGUUUUCUCCAGUGCGAUCCAGGUGUAACUUCCAUUUCCCAAACCCUGUUCUGCGUAGAGAAGACAUUGAGAUGAACUACGCUCUUCAGCUCCUCCCCAGUGCUCAGGUUGAUGGCAUCCUGGGUGAAUGCAGUCACUUUCUGAGAUAUAGAAAGAGACGUUAUUAGAUACAUGGGAGGGAUAUGUGUAGAUGUGUAAAGAGAAACAGCUAUGGAUAAGAUUUCAACAGCUUUCAAAUUCUUUCCUGAAUUGACAAAUUUAGCUAACAAAGGAUCAAAUGGCUGUUGUGAGUUUGGGUUAAGGGUCAAGGUCAGAGCAGAGUUAAAGAGUGGGUAAUUAAAUAAUCUGGGGGUUAUAGGUUGGGGGACUCACAUCGAUCAUGAACUACAGCCUCGGGUCUGGUACCAUAUUUCUCCAGCUCGGCGUGUGUCUCUGCAAGUGGCUAUUUUAGCAUGUCAAUCUUAGUGGGGCAACAACAACAAAAAACAUUUGGGGGUGUAAAGCGACUACACAACACUAAACAAUACAUUGCACUAUAACGGUGACAAAUGGUGCCCACAAACUGUUAAGGCCUACAUAAAGCU